CACGUAGGGCGCAAGCGUUGUCCGGAAUUAUUGGGCGUAAAGAGCUCGUAGGUGGUUUGCCACGUCCGCUGUGAAAUCCCAAGGCUUAACCUUGGGCUUGCAGUGGAUACGGGCAGACUAGAGGUAGGUAGGGGAGAACGGAAUUCCUGGUGUAGCGGUGAAAUGCGCAGAUAUCAGGAGGAACACCGGUGGCGAAGGCGGUUCUCUGGGCAUUACCUGACGCUGAGGAGCGAAAGUGUGGGGAGCGAACAGG
rnacentral:rRNA from 1 species